AGAGUUUGAUCCUGGCUCAGAACGAACGCUGGCGGCAUGGCUAAGACAUGCAAGUCGUACGGGCCAUUUUUCGGAAUGGUCAGUGGCGAAAGGGAGCGUAACGCAUGGGAACGUACCCUGGACACCGGGAUAACCACGGGCAACCUUUAGCGAAAGUGUGGCUAAUACCGGAUGAUGUCGCAAGAUCAAAGGCGGGGACCUUCGGGCCUGCCGGUCUGGGAGCGGCCCAUGUCCUAUCAGGUAGUUGGUGAGGUAACGGCUCACCAAGCCUACGACGGGUAGCGGGCGUGAGAGCGUGGCCCGCCUCAUCGGGACUGAGACACUGCCCGGACACCUACGGGUGGCUGCAGUAACGAAUAUUGGGCAAUGGGCGCAAGCCUGACCCAGCAAUGCCGCGUGCAGGAGGAAGCCCUUCGGGGUGUAAACUGCUGUCAGGGUUCAGCAAGCAAAGGGUGUGAAUAGCGCCCGGCGUUGAGCAGACCCAAAGGAAGCCUCGACUAACUCUGUGCCAGCAGUCGCGGUAAUACAGAGGAGGCAAGCGUUGUUCGGAAUCACUGGGCUUAAAGCGGGUGUAGGCGGCCCGGAAAGUGUCCUGUGAAAUCCCACGGCUCAACCGUGGAAUUGCAGGGCAAACUACCGGGCUUGAGGUCGGUAGAGGUGUCUGGAACUCUUGGUGGAGCGGUGAAAUGCGUAGAUAUCAAGAGGAACGCCGGAGGCGAAAGCGGGACACUGGGCCGAUUCUGACGCUGAGACCCGAAAGCGUGGGGAGCAAACAGGAUUAGAUACCCUGGUAGUCCACGCCGUAAACGAUGCACACUAGACGUCGGAGGUUCUGACACCAUCGGCGUUGGAGCAAAAGUAUUAAGUGUGCCGCCUGGGGAGUACGGCCGCAAGGCUAAAACUCAAAGGAAUUGACGGGGGCUCACACAAGCGGUGGAGCAUGUGGCUUAAUUCGAAGCAACGCGAAGAACCUUACCCAGGUUUGACAUGCUAGGAUGCAAGCGGGUAAUGCCGGGCGCUACCCUUCGGGGUGAAACUAGCACAGGUGUUGCAUGGCUGUCGUCAGCUCGUGCUGUGAAGUGUCGGGUUAAGUCCCUUAACGAGCGAAACCCCUGUCGUUAGUUGCCAGCGGGUCAGGCCGGGGACUCUAGCGAGACUGCCGGCGUUAAGCCGGAGGAAGGUGGGGACGACGUCAAGUCAUCAUGGCCCUUAAGCCUGGGGAUGCACACGUGCUACAAUGGCGCGCACAGAGCGAUGCAAGACCGCGAGGUGGAGCAAAUCGCAAAAAGCGCGCCCCAGUUCAGAUUGGAGUCUGCAAUUCGACUCCAUGAAGUUGGAAUCGCUAGUAAUCGCGUAUCAGCUACGACGCGGUGAGUGUGUUCCUGAGCC
rnacentral:rRNA from 1 species